rnacentral:sRNA from 10 species
GACUCGCACAGGUCAAUUUCAUGUGCCUAGAGACAACCGGAUAAUAACGGGGACGGAAGCCUCACCGCGCUAGUGAGCACUCAAUCAGUAUCCUUAACAGGACCACGAUCGCAAAUUGCCGCGGUUUGAUUGUUU